rnacentral:tRNA from 1 species
CCCGUGAUAGCUCAGUUGGUAGAGCGGGAGACUGUAGUGUGAUAGAAUCUAGGAAUCUCUAGGUCGGUGGUUCGACUCCGCCUCACGGGA